UUUCCGUAGGGGAACCUGCGGAGGGAUCAUUACUGAGUGAGGGCUUCGGCCCGACCUCCAACCCUUUGUGAACCAAACUUGUUGCUUCGGGGGCGACCCUGCCGCUUCGGCGGUGCGGCGCCCCCGGAGGCCAUUAAACACUGCAUCUCUUGCGUCGGAGUCUUAAAGAAAUUUAAACAAAACUUUCAACAACGGAUCUCUUGGUUCUGGCAUCGAUGAAGAACGCAGC
rnacentral:misc_RNA from 1 species